UAGGGAAUCUUCGGCAAUGGACGAAAGUCUGACCGAGCAACGCCGCGUGAGUGAAGAAGGCUUUCGGAUCGUAAAACUCUGUUGUUAGAGAAGAAUAAGGACGUUAGUAACUGAACGUCCCCUGACGGUAUCUAACCAGAAAGCCACGGCUAACUACUUGCCAGCAGCCGCGGUAAUACGUAGGUGGCAAGCGUUGUCCGGAUUUAUUGGGCGUAAAGCGAGCGCAGGCGGUUUCUUAAGUCUGAUGUGAAAGCCCCCGGCUCAACCGGGGAGGGUCAUUGGAAACUGGGAGACUUGAGUGCAGAAGAGGAGGGUGGAAUUCCAUGUGUAGCGGUGAAAUGCGUAGAUAUAUGGAGGAACACCAGUGGCGAAGGCGGCUCUCUGGUCUGUAACUGACGCUGAGGCUCGAAAGCGUGGGGAGCAAACAGG
rnacentral:rRNA from 1 species